UUGACAGUUGACACCGCUGAUGGAGACCGUUUCGAGUUGCCGCGCUCCCGCCAUUUAAGAUCCAAACGACAGCAAGCAAGCAUCAUCAGUAUGGGAUUGUGGAAUGCCAGCGGAGGGCACGGCGUGAAAAGUGAGGGCAGGGGAACAUGAAAAGGUCUGCUCUGCUGGGACUGGCACUCUCUGGCUCUGCGGUGGAAUAAAAGCGACGGUAAGGAUUAGAGGAGCGUUCCUCAGCUUGCGGGAUAAGCUGAUCUUCCACACUUCAGGCCAGUCUGGGGAUUGACACAUCAGAUGAAGAUAUGAAGUGGUGGGUGUGCGUGGAGGCGGGCCAGGCGCCCAGCGAGUCCCCGCGCUUCUCACUUGGUUAACACCUCACACAGAGCACAGAGCCAGGAAUACA